rnacentral:rRNA from 1 species
AUGAACGCUGACAGAAUGCUUAACACCUGCAAGUCAACUUGAAUUUGGGUUUUUAACUUAGGUUUGGGUGGCGGACGGGUGAGUAACGCGUAAAGAACUUGCCUCACAGCUAGGGACAACAUUUGGAAACGAAUGCUAAUACCUAAUAUUAUGAUAAUAGGGCAUCCUAUAAUUAUGAAAGCUAUAAGCGCUGUGAGAGAGCUUUGCGUCCCAUUAGCUAGUUGGAGAGGUAACGGCUCACCAAGGCGAUGAUGGGUAGCCGGCCUGAGAGGGUGAUCGGCCACAAGGGGACUGAGACACGGCCCUUACUCCUACGGGAGGCAGCAGUGGGGAAUAUUGGACAAUGGACCAAGAGUCUGAUCCAGCAAUUCUGUGUGCACGAUGAAGUUUUUCGGAAUGUAAAGUGCUUUCAGUUGGGAAGAAAGAAAUGACGGUACCAACAGAAGAAGUGACGGCUAAAUAAGUG